CAGAAUUGAACUUCAUGUUUAUUUUUUAGAAAAUUAAAUACAUUGACAAUAGGCCGUUCUAGCUAUAUUUUCUCUCAUGUGUGUGGGGGUGCGUAUAAUUUUCUUGGCCUGUUUAAGGAACAGUGGGACAACUGAAAUCUUUGCUUUUGGAGUUACUAACUAAAUCUAGGUCACAUUAUAGCGUGGCUUUAUCAUUGUUCUGCACUCAGUCAAUGAUUUCUUUGUCUUGUCUUACGAACGCCUGGUUAAUCUUGUCGGAACGCAUGCGCAUCAGGUAUAACGCUUCAACACACUUGCGCUUCAUAAACGGGCAAAAUUUUGGUAGUAUUUACCAGUUUGUGAGAAGUAAAAAAGCAGGCAAGAUGUCUUACGGUCAAGAGAGAGAGUACGGUCGGGGCGGCGGCGGUGGUAGCCGAGGUUAUCCUGGAGGAGAUGGAGGUGACAAAUCUACUUUCUAUGUUGAUCAGCAACAUGUUGGAAGAAUCAUUGGAAAAGGUGGAAACAGAAUUCGCGAUUUGCAGGAUGAAAGUGGGUGCCAAAUUAAGAUUGAAAGCCGAAACAGUGAUAGAGAGGGGCAAGCUCGAGUUGAUUUACUUGGUGAUUCAAGCUCACAGUCGGCUGCCCGUAGUUUGAUACAAGACAUAUGCGAUCAACCCCCUAGAGAAGGUGGAGGAGGAGGAUACAGAGGUGGUGGCCGAGGAGGUGGCGGCGGCAGAGAUAGAGGAUAUGGGGGUGGACGUGAUGGCGGAUAUGGGGGUGGACGUGAUGGCGGAUAUGGGGGUGGACGUGAUGGUGGAUAUGGGGGUGGACGUGACGAUAGGGGAUAUGGAGGAGGAGGCGGCGGUGGCCGAUACAACAAUGGAGGUGGCUGGGGAUCUUGAAGUGAUCCGUCUCCUCUUUAAAGUAGUGGUUAUUCAUAUGCCAGUACAAUUCUUUUAAAAACACUUAUUGACUACCACAUUGAAAUCUUUAUACCCUGUUGACUGCCCGUGAUGUUCUUGACAUCUGAUUCCAUGAUUUUGUUUCCGAACCUUGAGCCCUCGAUAAUUUGAAUGUUGUGGGUUAUUGUUUACUGGCCUGCGACUUAUGAAGUCAAUAUAUUUUAUCCUAUAUGAGUAAUUACCUAGAUCUACGGUUUAAACUAGACAAUGCGUAGAGUAUUUUAGUGAUACAUGAAUUGAACUAUUGUGUGUGUUGUCGACAUAUUCACAACUGUUUUAUGAUUGCCUAUUAUCGAUUUUCAUCUUGUAUUUAAUGAUUACCUGUCGACUUUGCCUAGAACUUUAAUGAUUGCCUGUCAACUUAAUCCCAGACCCUGAUCCUAAUAUGACUGUCAACAUUUGCCCGUAACUAAAUAAUGGACCAUGUAUAUAAGAUUACUUGAAUACUGACUUCCAAAUUGAGGUGAUCGAUACAUCUUCACUUAAUGUAUGAUAAAACUGAAACUUUGAAUAUUGUGCCUCAAGAAAGAAUUAACUUGAAGAGGUUUUGAUUUUGCCACUUGCUAAUACAUGUGCUCGAAUUUUAUGUAAUAUUUAUGAACAGUGACUUGAACUUGACCAUAUUGAAACUUGUACAUUUGUAUCAUUAUCAUACCAUUUUUCAUGAACUAUUGCCUGCCAUUGUUUACAUUGAUCGCAUUUGAAAUUGAUAAAAUUGACUUGGGUGUGUGAAUUUGAAAACAUACAGACAAUACAAGUGCUCAUCUGUCCAUACUGCGUGGUCGCCAUUGUCUACCUUUUUUUAUCGGCAUAAUCUUGAUGAACUGAUGUAACAUCCUGAAAACAUAACUUGCCCAUUGACUUUGUUUUUCAUGAUGUGGACUAUUUACAUCGUUGAUAAUUUGAUUGUGGGAACAACCUUAUUUCACCAUUUUGUACUAAGUGUGAUUCACCUUCCUUUAAUAUAACACAAUGGGAAGUGUGUUAACAUGCUGUGAUCUUACACUAGUAAUAAUACCCAGGGUGAUAUUUGAGAUAUUGUAUAUUAUGCUAAUCCAACGCGAGCUUGACCUGACAUUAUUGACUGUUUUUAAACUGGAACCCUCCUCAUGAAUGUUAUCAGUAUUUAGUUAAGACUUAUUUGAACCAGUGCUGCUAUAUUUUAUUUACUGAAUUAUAAUGAACUUGAAUUGAAUCGUAAUAAACUGAAUACUAAAGUGGUAAA